ACUUUCACCAAAGAUGUUUGCGCUCCAUCAUGGACAUACGGUGGCAAGACCGUAGAAAUGUUGACUUAGGUUUUAACAUUUGGUAUUAGGUGUCACUAGUUCAGACGCUUGGAGAUCUGACAGCCAUGGGGCUCGUCAAGUUCCUGCUCGUGCUGUGCUUUUCCCUGGCCGGUGCCCAGACCGUGAAUCGUAUGUCUGCAGACGCUCAAAAUGAGAUUUACGAAAGCCAAGCCAAGGAUAAGGUUGCCGCUGUCACCUUUGCUUUCGCCAAACAUUUCCAGAACCACAUGGUGCUACAGCGAGCUCCGCAGAGAGCCAAUAUUUAUGGAUUCUCUCCAACCAUUGGACAGAAGGUCACA
rnacentral:sRNA from 1 species